rnacentral:rRNA from 1 species
UACGGAAGGCAGCAGUGGGGAAUAUUGCACAAUGGGCGAAAGCCUGAUGCAGCUAUGUCGCGUGUAUGAAGAAGGCCUUAGGGUUGUAAAGUACUUUCAUCGGGGAGGAAAAAACAAAACUAAUAAUUUUAUUUCUUGACGUUACCCGAAAAAGAAGCACCGGCUAACUCCGUGCCAGCAGCCGCGGUAAUACGGAGGGUGCUAGCGUUAAUCAGAAUUACUGGGCGUAAAGAGCACGUAGGUGGUUUUUUUAAGUCAGAUGUGAAAUCCCUGGGCUUAACCUGGAACUGCAUUUUGAAACUGAAAUACUAGAGUAUCGUAGAGGGAGGUAGAAUUCUAGGUGUAGCGGUGAAAUGCGUAGAUAUCUGGAGGAAUACCUGUGGCGAAAGCGGCCUCCUAAACGAAUACUGACACUGAGGUGCGAAAGCGUGGGGAGCAAACAGGGAUUAGAUACC